CCCUGGCUCAGGACGAACGCGGGCGGCGUGCCUAAUACAUGCAAGUCGAGCGGAGUCUUGUUGGAAGCUUGCUUCCAACUUGGCUUAGCGGCGGACGGGUGAGUAACACGUAGGCAACCUACCCUUCAGACUGGGAUAACUACCGGAAACGGUAGCUAAUACCGGAUAAUUCCUUUCUUCUCAUGAAGAGAGGAUGAAAGGCGGAGCAAUCUGCUACUGAGGGAUGGGCCUGCGGCGCAUUAGCUAGUUGGUGGGGUAACGGCCCACCAAGGCGACGAUGCGUAGCCGACCUGAGAGGGUGAACGGCCACACUGGGACUGAGACACGGCCCAGACUCCUACGGGAGGCAGCAGUAGGGAAUCUUCCGCAAUGGGCGAAAGCCUGACGGAGCAACGCCGCGUGAGUGAUGAAGGUUUUCGGAUCGUAAAGCUCUGUUGCCAGGGAAGAACGUCCGGUAGAGUAACUGCUACCGGAGUGACGGUACCUGAGAAGAAAGCCCCGGCUAACUA
rnacentral:rRNA from 1 species